ACUACAAGUGAAAAACUUAAAACUCAAAGGACUUGACGGUGUCCCAUAUCGACCUAGAGGAGCCUGUCCUAUAAUCGAUACCCCCCGCUCCACCCGACCCCAACUAGCAUACAUCAGCCUAUAUACCGCCGUCGAUCAGCCUACCCUAUGAAAGUCCAACAGUAGACACAAUAGCCCCACCGCUAAUACGUCAGGUCAAGGUGUAGCAAAUGUUGUGGAAGAGAUUGGCUACAUUUUUUAUUAUAAAAAAUACGAAAUAUACCAUGAAACAGUAUAUGAAGGUGAAUUUAGUAGUAAAAUAAACAAGAGUGUUUAUUUUAACAACGCUUUGGGACGCGUACACACCGCC
rnacentral:rRNA from 1 species